rnacentral:rRNA from 1 species
AUUGAACGCUGGCGGCAGGCCUAACACAUGCAAGUCGAACGGUACAGGAAGAAGCUUGCUUCUUUGCUGACGAGUGGCGGACGGGUGAGUAAUGUCUGGGAAACUGCCUGAUGGAGGGGGAUAACUACUGGAAACGGUAGCUAAUACCGCAUAACGUCGCAAGACCAAAGAGGGGGACCUUCGGGCCCCUUGCCAUCGGAUGUGCCCAGAUGGGAUUAGCUAGUAGGUGGGGUAACGGCUCACCUAGGCGACGAUCCCUAGCUGGUCUGAGAGGAUGACCAGCCACACUGGAACUGAGACACGGUCCAGACUCCUACGGGAGGCAGCAGUGGGGAAUAUUGCACAAUGGGCGCAAGCCUGAUGCAGCCAUGCCGCGUGUAUGAAGAAGGCCUUCGGGUUGUAAAGUACUUUCAGCGGGGAGGAAGGGAGUAAAGUUAAUACCUUUGCUCAUUGACGUUACCCGCAGAAGAAGCACCGGCUAACUCCGUG